UACGAAGGGUGCAAGCGUUACUCGGAAUUACUGGGCGUAAAGCGUGCGUAGGUGGUUCGUUAAGUCUGUCGUGAAAGCCCCGGGCUCAACCUGGGAAUGGCGAUGGAUACUGGCGGGCUAGAGUGCGGUAGAGGAGAGUGGAAUUCCUGGUGUAGCGGUGAAAUGCGCAGAUAUCAGGAAGAACACCCGUGGCGAAGGCGGCUCUCUGGGACGGUACUGACGCUGAGACGCGAAAGCGUGGGGAGCGAACAGG
rnacentral:rRNA from 1 species